AGCAAGGAACGAGCGAAGAGCUAUAAACUCCCCGCCAUUGUCAGAGUAGAGAGUGACAAUCUUCUGUUUGAAACGAUUUUCAACCAGCGCCUUGAAGGAUGACCAAGUCGCGCAUGCCAAGAGGAGCUAUCAGCCUUUGGUGUUGGAGAAGCAAACAACAAUCUCGGCUUAGCAAUAUUAACCGGCCACUCGUACAACUCUUUCUUAGUCCUGCCUUGGAAAACAUAAAGAACAUCUCUUAAGGCAAUAUCACGAUGAUGAGUAGGAAGAGUAGUAGAACCAGUUUGAGCUAUUUGGAGGGCAGAGCCAUCAG